rnacentral:rRNA from 1 species
AGUGAACGCUGGCGGUAGGCCUAACACAUGCCAGUCGAACGGCAGCACAGUAAGAGCUUGCUCUUACGGGUGGCGAGUGGCGGACGGGUGAGGAAUACAUCGGAAUCUACUUUUUCGUGGGGGAUAACGUAGGGAAACUUACGCUAAUACCGCAUACGACCUACGGGUGAAAGCAGGGGAUCUUCUGACCUUGCGCGAUUGAAUGAGCCGAUGUCGGAUUAGCUAGUUGGCGGGGUAAAGGCCCACCAAGGCGACGAUCCGUAGCUGGUCUGAGAGGAUGAUCAGCCACACUGGAACUGAGACACGGUCCAGACUCCUACGGGAGGCAGCAGUGGGGAAUAUUGGACAAUGGGCGCAAGCCUGAUCCAGCCAUACCGCGUGGGUGAAGAAGGCCUUCGGGUUGUAAAGCCCUUUUGUUGGGAAAGAAAAGCAGCAGGUUAAUACCCCGCUGUUCUGACGGUACCCAAAGAAUAAGCACCGGCUAACUUCGUG